AACAGGAUUAGAUACCCUGGUAGUCCACGCCGUAAACGAUGUCGACUUGGAGGUUGUGCCCUUGAGGCGUGGCUUCCGGAGCUAACGCGUUAAGUCGACCGCCUGGGGAGUACGGCCGCAAGGUUAAAACUCAAAUGAAUUGACGGGGGCCCGCACAAGCGGUGGAGCAUGUGGUUUAAUUCGAUGCAACGCGAAGAACCUUACCUACUCUUGACAUCCAGAGAACUUAGCAGAGAUGCUUUGGUGCCUUCGGGAACUCUGAGACAGGUGCUGCAUGGCUGUCGUCAGCUCGUGUUGUGAAAUGUUGGGUUAAGUCCCGCAACGAGCGCAACCCUUAUCCUUUGUUGCCAGCGGUUAGGCCGGGAACUCAAAGGAGACUGCCAGUGAUAAACUGGAGGAAGGUGGGGAUGACGUCAAGUCAUCAUGGCCCUUACGAGUAGGGCUACACACGUGCUACAAUGGCAUAUACAAAGAGAAGCGACCUCGCGAGAGCAAGCGGACCUCAUAAAGUAUGUCGUAGUCCGGAUUGGAGUCUGCAACUCGACUCCAUGAAGUCGGAAUCGCUAGUAAUCGUGGAUCAGAAUGCCACGGUGAAUACGUUCCCGGGCCUUGUACACACCGCCCGCCACACCAUGGGAGUGGGUUGCAAAAGAAGUAGGUAGCUUAACCUUCGGGAGGGCGCUUACCACUUCGUGAUUCAUGACUGGGGUGAAGUCGUAACAAGGUAACC
rnacentral:rRNA from 1 species